rnacentral:rRNA from 1 species
UUAAUUGCGAUAACGAACGAGACCUUAACCUGCUAAAUAGCCAGGCUAGCUUUGGCUGGUCGCCGGGCUUCUUAGAGGGACUAUCGGCUCAAGCCGACGGAAGUUUGAGGCAAUAACAGGUCUGUGAUGCCCUUAGAUGUUCUGGGCCGCACGCGCGCUACACUGACAGAGCCAACGAGUUUUCUUCCUUGUCCGAAAGGUCUGGGUAAUCUUGUUAAACUCUGUCGUGCUGGGGAUAGAGCAUUGCAAUC